GGAAAGAUUUGGAAGCCAACAACAAACAGUUUUUCCAUUUGAUUUUCAACCCACCCCCCGUUCUCUUGAUGGCAACUUAUCUUCCAAAACCCCUCUCCACAUUUAACAUUCUGAAAGAGGGUAAGCUAACCCCUUCUUCAUGUCGCCAUAAUUUACAACUGCCUCAACAAUUCGUUGCCUCUCAUCAUCCCAAAUUUAAGCAUUCAUUGCUCUCCUUGAGCGCCUCGGUUCACGAACUCACCGGGAACCGGAGGCCCUCCGAUGCCCAGUCUUUAUUGCUUAGAAUGAUUCGGAAAAGCGGCGUUUCCCGGACCCAGAUUGUAGACUCUUUGAUAUCCACAUGUGGCUCCACUCCUCUUGUCUUUGAUUUGUUGAUUCGAACAUAUGUGCAAUCUAGGAAGCUAAGGGAAGGUGUCGAGGUUUUUAAGGUUGUUAGAAGCAGGGGGAUUUCUGUUCCGAUAAACGCCUGCAAUAGUCUUCUUGGUGGCCUUGUGAAAAUCGGGUGGGUAGAUUUCGCCUGGGAGGUAUACCAUGAGACGCUUUCAAGUGGAGUUCAAAUGAACAAUUAUACCAUGAAUAUCAUGGUUAACACGAUAUGUAAAGAGCACAAGUUUGAUGAAGUCAAGACUUUCUUGAUGGGAUUUCAGGCCAAGGGUGUUUCACCUGACAUUGUGACGUAUAACACGUUAAUCAGUGCUUAUUCUGGUGUGGGCCUUGUUGAUGAAGCUUUUCAACUUAUGGAUGCUAUGCGAAGUAAUGGGCUGGAACCAGGGCUAUACGCGUAUAAUGCUGUUUUGAAAGGUGUGUGUAGGAAUAGGAGUUUUGAAAGAGCCAAAGAGAUUGUUAAAGAAAUGUUUCGUAUCGGGUUGACUCCGGAUGUUGCUACCUACAACACCUUGUUAGUUGAAUGCUGUAGAAAACACCAUGUAUUGGAAGCCGAAAGUGUUUAUAAUGAAAUGUUGCAGAAAAACAUUGUUCCGGAUUUUGUUACUUACAGCUCCCUUAUUGGGUUGUUUUCAAGAAGCACCAACCUUGAUCGCGCUUUAGCUUACUUCAAGGACAUGAAAAGUAUUGGUUUGGUACCCGAUAAUGUUAUUUAUACGAUUUUAAUCGAUGCGUUUUGCAAACAUGGUGUGAUCUCGGAGGCAAUGAAGAUGCGCAAUGAAAUGGUGGAUCGUGGGUGUGUUUUGGAUGUGGUGACAUACAAUACUCUUUUGAACGGGUUAUGCAAAAAUAAAAUGAUCCAGGAAGCGGAUAAACUUUUUUAUGAGAUGACCGAAAGAGGCAUACAUCCAGACUUUUACACGUUCACGACACUGAUUAAUGGGUAUGUCAAGGGAGGAAACAUGAAUAAAGCUGUAACUUUAUUUGAAUCAAUGAGACAAAGGAAUUUAAAACCAGAUGUUGUAACGUAUAAUGUUUUGAUUGACGGGUUCUGCAGGGACGGUGAUAUGGAAAAAGCUAAAGAUUUAUGGAACAAUAUGAUAUCCAAAAGUAUUUUUCCUAAUCAUAUUACAUACAGCAUUUUAAUUAACGGGUUUUGUACCAAGGGUCGUGUAGUAGAGGCGUUGAGGAUUUGGGAUGAGAUGAUUGGUAACGGGAUUAAACCGACAAUUGUGACGUGUAACACCAUUAUUAAGGGAUACUGUAGGUCUGGAUUACCUGUAGAUGCAGCUAAAUUCUUUGAUAGAAUGGCUUCUAGUGGUAUCACUCCUGAUAAUAUUACGUUUAACACUCUUAUACACGGGUUUUUGAUGGAAGAUCAAAUGGACCAGGCUUUUGACAUGGUCAACAAAAUGGAAAGUCAAGGGUUGUCGCCCAAUGUUGUUACAUAUAAUGUGAUUCUUAAUGGGUUCUGUAAACAGGGGAGGAUGAAUGAAGCGGAUAUGAUUUACGGGAAGAUGAUCGGAAAGGGUUUAGAUCCUGACAGAAGUACGUUUAUAUCGCUGAUAAAUGGUCAUGUGUCACAAGAGAACAUGAAGGAAGCGUUUCGGUAUCAUGAUCAAAUGCUGCAGAGGGGAUUUGUGCCUGAUGAUAAAUUUUGAUUUAUGUCAGGGUGGUUUACCGUGUAAGUUGACAGCACAAUGUCCAAGCCUCUUGGAUGAAUCCUUACCGUUUAAUUGCUGAAUAGCAGUUGAAGGUCUCAACAAAGAGUAAAAGGUACACUUCUGUGCUUUGAUUAUAAGCAGAAACAGUCUCAACAAAGAGAGGCCAAACCCAACCUGUAUUUGAAUUCAUUGAACAAUGCAAAAACAUUAUACAAAUGCCAGUGUUUCCAGUUACAAGUAUUAAUAAAUCUGUUGCAGAUAACACUAUUGCAUCCAGAACUUUAAGCAUAUCAUUCAGAUGUCCCUAGCUACUUGCUACAUGUUGCCAAAAUGACAAUAGUCCAGUUUUGAUCAUUUCUCUCGCCAGAACAAUCCAAUACUGAAGAAAACAAUCAAGUUUUCCAGCAUCAACAAACACAAAAGUCUUUUGCUAAACAUAAACAGGCAAUUAUAAAUCUCAAUCUAGCAAAAUCGAGCAUUUUAAUCUUAUUCUUGGACUCUUGGGCGCCUGAUGCAGUUAUGUGGAAUUUGUUCCUAAAAGAACGCAUUGAUCCGAUCCUCCGCCCACCUCCCUGAAAUUGGGAUAGUUAGUUGUUUGAAAACAGUAACCUAAAUGCUAAAUAACUAGACCUGGCAUUAGAAUGGGUUCGGGUCGGGACGGGUUCGGGUCAAAAAAGUGGGCUUCUUCAGGUAAUACUGGUGCUGUUGUUGAAGAAGGUCAACAAAGACUGCCAUUAGAACUACGUAAACUGUCGAAAUUUAUAACACUAAAAUAAUCAUUCAUCCAGGGUAUGUACCUUCAUAUUCUAAAAUCAACAUUAUCUUUUUCUAAAUAUAUAACUGAAACAUUAAU